GGGCGAGGAUGGCGUGAGCGGGAUGGCCAGCUCUGGAGGAGGCGGCGGGGUGAGUGGUGGGUCGUCGUCGUCGUCGGCGCGGGUGUCGUCGUCCCGGUCCCGCACGGAGGAGAUCGGCAAGUACCGCCUCCUCAAGACCAUCGGCAAGGGGAACUUCGCCAAGGUCAAGCUCGCCAAGCACAUCCCCACCGGCAAGGAGGUGGCUAUAAAAAUUAUAGACAAGACGCAACUUAAUCCAGGGUCAUUACAAAAGCUGUUUCGGGAGGUCCGCAUCAUGAAGAUCCUCGAUCAUCCAAACAUUGUCAAACUCUUCCAAGUGAUAGAAACAGAAAGAACUUUGUACCUGGUGAUGGAGUAUGCUAGUGGUGGGGAGGUAUUCGACUACUUGGUCUUCCAUGGCAGGAUGAAGGAAAAGGAGGCUCGGGCAAAAUUUAGACAGAUUGUUUCAGCAGUACAAUAUUGCCACCAAAAGAAGAUCAUUCAUAGGGAUUUAAAAGCUGAAAAUUUACUUUUAGAUUCAGAAAUGGUGAUAAAAAUAGCAGAUUUUGGCUUCAGCAAUGAAUUUACGCCAGGAAAUAAGUUAGAUACUUUCUGUGGUAGUCCACCCUAUGCUGCACCUGAACUCUUUCAAGGGAAAAAGUAUGAUGGCCCAGAGGUAGAUGUGUGGUCUUUGGGAGUCAUCCUGUACACCUUAGUUUCUGGCUCACUACCUUUUGAUGGGUCUAACUUAAAAGAACUUAGAGAACGGGUACUAAGGGGGAAAUAUCGUAUACCUUUCUACAUGUCCACUGACUGCGAGAAUCUGCUCAAGAAGUUCCUGGUACUCAAUCCAGCACGUAGGGCAUCUCUAGAGACAAUAAUGAAGGAUAGAUGGAUGAAUAUUGGUUAUGAAGAUGAUGAACUAAAGCCAUAUGUGGAACCAACCAUAGACCUUGAUGACAUUAAACGAAUUGAGAUUCUCAGUGAAAUGGGUUAUUCUCGAGCCGAAAUAGAAGACAGUUUGAAGAGUCAGAAGUAUGAUGAUGUAUAUGCUACCUACCUACUCCUUGGGCGGAGAUCUUCGGAUCUUGAGAGUGAUGGUUCCCGGUCAGGAAGCUCACUUUCCCUUCGCAACACCUGCUUAACGCCGCGAGGGCAGGAAUCUAGCGGAGCUGCCCAAUCUCCCUCGCACUCCCACCGGGGAGUUCACCGCUCAGUCUCUGCCACCAACUCCAAGCCCUCUCGCAGAGCAUCCUCCGGUGGGGAGACCAUUCGGGGUGGAGGCACAACUCCAGUCUCUACUAAUGCACACAACCAUGCGGGCACCAACAACUUCCGGCGGCAGAACACAGUUGAUACUGCAACCAUCAAGGAGAACACUGCUCGACUGGCUCAGGGGGGCGUCCCCACCACCUCAGCCUCACGCUCGGCAGCACUCAAGAACCAAAAUAUCACAGCCCUUGAUCCCUCAGGGGCACCCGGCAAAGCUGGAGGUGCAGGUGCAGCAACCAGUCCUGGUGUAGGGAAAUCUCGGGUACAGAAGAGUAACACCAUGACCAAUAGACCCAUAGGUAGUGGCUCAGCACGACGCUCAACGUACUCCUAUGAUGCCAAUAAGGCCUCCUCAACAGAAAAGACAAACAUAACAAACGUUCCAGAUUCUGCUAGGGGCUCACAGGGGGAGAGUACGGUGUGUAAUGAGGCCAAUGUCCACACAUUGCAGGACUCUUCAAACAAAACACCAGUGUCACCUAUAAGCUCAAGCAACCGCUUCCCCCGAAAUGUGCCCAGUCGAUCCACGUUCCACAGUGGACAGAAUCGGCAAAAUAACAAUACGUACAGGGGAGUUGGUGCCCCUCUAACCACACAGGACACCAGUGCCCUCUCCUCCACGAGUAGGACCAGUUUCUUCUCAAAAUUGUCAUCUAAAUUUUCAAAACGCCCCCUGGAAACUCCACCUAAGCAAGGCGCUAGGUAUGUUGGCAAGGAUGGGAGUGUGGAAGCAGAGAUGGCUGAAAGGGUGACAUAUCGAGGUAUCACAGAGGAGCACCCUAAAAGCACAUCCGUGAAUAAUGAUGAGCAGGUCAAGCCUCGGUCAUUGCGCUUCACGUGGAGCAUGAAAACGACCUCUUCACGAGACCCCAAUGACAUCAUGGCCGAGAUUCGCAAGGUAGACCACCCCCCGCACCAUGAAUAGCGACGACAAGUAUUAGAUGCAAACAACUGUGAUUAUGAGCAGCGAGAAAAGUUCUUGCUUCUCUGUGUCCAUGGAGACCCCAACACAGAUUCUUUAGUACAGUGGGAAAUUGAGGUGUGUAAGCUACCCAGACUUAGCCUGAAUGGUGU
rnacentral:misc_RNA from 1 species